GUGUAAGUGCCUUACCUAAACGAUAACGAUACUUCUACAGUGACACACAAUCUAUCCAUCCCAAAAUACGCGCAAUUUGCGGUGACAGCGUGGGUGGUCCAUUCCGCCACAUCUGAAUCUCUUCUUACUGAAGCCGAAACUUAAGGACAAGACAAAGAAAAAAAAAAAAAAAAAAAAAAACAACAAAAAUCCAUAACAGAAAAGAAAACAAAAAACGUAAAAAAAAGCUAACAAGAAUAUAUCAUCCACCAGCUCCUAGAUUGAAGCUUCACUCUGAUCCCUGUGCUCGUCUCAUUCUCCAUUUUUUUUCCCCCACAAAAGGGUUCGCUGAGGAAGGUAGUGCAUAAGCCAUGGUUCUUGACAGCAUUCUAUCUUCUCCUCAUCGUAGGUCACCAUCAUUCAGGAAGCAAUUCUCGCGGGAUGAUUCAUUAAGCUGGCCAACACUCCUUCAAAGGCACCGCUUCCUCUUAACAGCUCUAGUUCUCCUAGCUUUCCUAUGCAUUGUGUAUCUUUAUUUUGCUGUCACUUUAGGUGCUUCUGGAUCAUGUUCUGAUUUAAAGGGUGCUCAGAAAGAGUCGUGUUUGGAUGCAAAAGCUUCUGUGGGCAAUGGAAAAUUGAAAUUCCUUUGACAUGUAGAUGAUAAUUAUAGUCGGAAAGCAUUUCCAUCCUUGGUUCUUUUCGAUUCUAAGGAGAUUGAAUUUAACCAUACUUUUAAAAUUGCAAUAGGUUGUUUGCUGUUUUUGAACUCAAUUGUCCUGAAUCUUAUAUAUGAGAAAUGUAACAAAAAUUUCAUUUGGAGACUAUAUAGCAAAAAUUUCAUUUGGAGACUGUAAUAACUUUGAUGUGAUUAUAUAGUUUUUUAUAAGCUAAUGUAAGUUCUUUGAAAGAAUUCAAGGGC